rnacentral:tRNA from 1 species
GCGGAAGUGGCGGAAUUGGCAGACGCGCUGGGUUCAGGGUCCAGUGGGAGCAAUCUCGUGGGGGUUCAAGUCCCCCCUUCCGCACCA